UAUCCGGCCUGAGAGGGUGAACGGACACACUGGAACUGAGACACGGUCCAGACUCCUACGGGAGGCAGCAGUAGGGAAUAUUGCUCAAUGGGCGCAAGCCUGAAGCAGCAACGCCGCGUGGAGGAUGAAGGUUUUAGGAUUGUAAACUCCUUUUGUCAGAGAAGAUAAUGACGGUAUCUGACGAAUAAGCACCGGCUAACUCCGUGCCAGCAGCCGCGGUAAUACGGAGGGUGCAAGCGUUACUCGGAAUCACUGGGCGUAAAGAGUGCGUAGGCGGGGUUGUAAGUCAGAUGUGAAAUCCUAUGGCUUAACCAUAGAACUGCAUUUGAAACUACAACUCUGGAGUGUGGGAGAGGUAGGUGGA
rnacentral:rRNA from 1 species